rnacentral:rRNA from 1 species
GAUGAACGCUGGCGGCGUGCCUAAUACAUGCAAGUCGAGCGAACGGACGAGAAGCUUGCUUCUCUGAUGUUAGCGGCGGACGGGUGAGUAACACGUGGAUAACCUACCUAUAAGACUGGGAUAACUUCGGGAAACCGGAGCUAAUACCGGAUAAUAUUUUGAACCGCAUGGUUCAAAAGUGAAAGACGGUCUUGCUGUCACUUAUAGAUGGAUCCGCGCUGCAUUAGCUAGUUGGUAAGGUAACGGCUUACCAAGGCAACGAUGCAUAGCCGACCUGAGAGGGUGAUCGGCCACACUGGAACUGAGACACGGUCCAGACUCCUACGGGAGGCAGCAGUAGGGAAUCUUCCGCAAUGGGCGAAAGCCUGACGGAGCAACGCCGCGUGAGUGAUGAAGGUCUUCGGAUCGUAAAACUCUGUUAUUAGGGAAGAACAUAUGUGUAAGUAACUGUGCACAUCUUGACGGUACCUAAUCAGAAAGCCACGGCUAACUACGUGCCAGCAGCCGCGGUAAUACGUAGGUGGCAAGCGUUAUCCGGAAUUAUUGGGCGUAAAGCGCGCGUAGGCGGUUUUUUAAGUCUGAUGUGAAAGCCCACGGCUCAACCGUGGAGGGUCAUUGGAAACUGGAAAACUUGAGUGCAGAAGAGGAAAGUGGAAUUCCAUGUGUAGCGGUGAAAUGCGCAGAGAUAUGGAGGAACACCAGUGGCGAAGGCGACUUUCUGGUCUGUAACUGACGCUGAUGUGCGAAAGCGUGGGGAUCAAACAGGAUUAGAUACCCUGGUAGUCCACGCCGUAAACGAUGAGUGCUAAGUGUUAGGGGGUUUCCGCCCCUUAGUGCCGCAGCUAACGCAUUAAGCACUCCGCCUGGGGAGUACGACCGCAAGGUUGAAACUCAAAGGAAUUGACGGGGACCCGCACAAGCGGUGGAGCAUGUGGUUUAAUUCGAAGCAACGCGAAGAACCUUACCAAAUCUUGACAUCCUUUGACAACUCUAGAGAUAGAGCCUUCCCCUUCGGGGGGCAAAGUGACAGGUGGUGCAUGGUUGUCGUCAGCUCGUGUCGUGAGAUGUUGGGUUAAGUCCCGCAACGAGCGCAACCCUUAAGCUUAGUUGCCAUCAUUAAGUUGGGCACUCUAAGUUGACUGCCGGUGACAAACCGGAGGAAGGUGGGGAUGACGUCAAAUCAUCAUGCCCCUUAUGAUUUGGGCUACACACGUGCUACAAUGGACAAUACAAAGGGCAGCGAAACCGCGAGGUCAAGCAAAUCCCAUAAAGUUGUUCUCAGUUCGGAUUGUAGUCUGCAACUCGACUACAUGAAGCUGGAAUCGCUAGUAAUCGUAGAUCAGCAUGCUACGGUGAAUACGUUCCCGGGUCU